UGGGGAAUUUUGGACAAUGGGCGAAAGCCUGAUCCAGCAAUGCCGCGUGUGUGAAGAAGGCCUUCGGGUUGUAAAGCACUUUUGUCCGGAAAGAAAUCCUCUGGGUUAAUACCUCGGGGGGAUGACGGUACCGGAAGAAUAAGCACCGGCUAACUACGUGCCAGCAGCCGCGGUAAUACGUAGGGUGCAAGCGUUAAUCGGAAUUACUGGGCGUAAAGCGUGCGCAGGCGGUUUUGUAAGACGGAUGUGAAAUCCCCGGGCUUAACCUGGGAACUGCAUUCGUGACUGCAAGGCUAGAGUAUGGCAGAGGGGGGUAGAAUUCCACGUGUAGCAGUGAAAUGCGUAGAGAUGUGGAGGAAUACCGAUGGCGAAGGCAGCCCCCUGGGCCAAUACUGACGCUCAUGCACGAAAGCGUGGGGAGCAAACAGGAUUAGAUACCCUGGUAGUCCACGCCCUAAACGAUGUCAACUAGUUGUUGGGGAUUCAUUUCCUUAGUAACGUAGCUAACGCGUGAAGUUGACCGCCUGGGGAGUACGGUCGCAAGAUUAAAACUCAAAUGAAUUGACGGGA
rnacentral:rRNA from 1 species